rnacentral:miRNA from 1 species
UCAGGGAGUCAGGGGAGGGC